GUCUUUGUGGCCAAUAGGGUGGCUGAGUAUCUCUCACAUGACUCCCUGCCCCUGUCUUUCACAUGGGCUGUAAUUUAGUUCAAUUCAGAACUGCAGAUAGUACGGCUUCCACAGGAGCAAGGGAUGCCUGAGCAGAAGUGGCUGAGUUCCGAGGGACUUUAUGAAGCGCUUCUCUGCCCUUCCCCCGGCAUGAAAAAACAGGGAUUCUGCACCUGCAUCAGGGACAGUCUGGUCAAAGGCUCUGCUCUGCCUCCGGGGACAAGGAACUAGAGCAAAUAACCAUUUUGAAAUUGCAUCUUAAAAUGACCAACAAAUUUAAAAUCAGAACUGAAGCAGUUUGAUCUACACCUCCCAUGACAGUUCCACAGAGACUGAAGAAACGUGAAUGUCUCCAAAGGAGAGUAGAGAGCUUGGUUAGUUGUACCCUGAAAUUAGAAUGUGAUUAAGAUACUGUAAAGUCAGCAGAAUUCUGAGCUUAGAGGUUGCUUCAGUGAACAUUCAACGCUGUCGGUGAGUUUGGAAUUAAAAUCAAAACCAUCGACCGUUGAUUGUACCCUAUGGCUAACCAUCAACUGCUCCGUGGCUCCCAGAAUUUGCUGAAGACAGAAAACCAAAGCAGGACACUCCAGAACUUUCUCUUCUUCAUGCAGAGAUUAUUUUUCAAAAGGUCACAAUCAACAUUCAUUGCUGUCGGUGGGUUGAGCUGUGUGGACAAGCUCACUGAACAAUGAAUGCAACUGUGGCCCCGCUUUGUGCUGUCACAAUCAACAACAUUCCACCUUUCAAAGAUGUCCUGAAUAUGUUGGUAUCACUCUUCACCGUCACCUUUCGGGUCUGUUUGAGAGUUCAGGUCGAUGUAUUCAAUCUAUAUCGUGUGAUCAGAUUUCAGUGAGAAAGGCACUAGUUCAAAACAGCAUGAUGCUUCUCUGUACUUCCGUAUGUUAUAAAUAGAGCACAUUUUUAUAAAAGGUAAACCAUUUUGUCCACAGGAUCAGUACAUCAUCAUCUGGGUUAACACACCUUCUUCUGUUACAAUGGGGUGAGAGGAAGACACCAAGAAGCACCCCAGGAUCCAUGCCACUGGCACCUCUGUCUUUAUAACAUUUAAAAGCACCCAUUCUCUACAUCUUUUGUUAAAUUUCCUGGUCCGAUUGGGAUAGGAACACCAAGUAAUUGCAUGUUCUGUUUCUCUAGUUGAGGACUCACUCAAAUAAUUCCUCUUGCCCUCGUAUUUGUUAAGGAAGGGAAAAAUGUAUAAAAUAACUUAGUGACUCUCAGAACACAUGAUCAUCAUAGAGUCGCUUCAUUUCCCUAACUAAAUUUCAAAACUCCAACAUAAAAUUUUACCCAUUUCCUUGUGUUUCUUUUUCCAAACACCUAACCUGAAUUGUUAAACCUACAACCAUGGCCAACAGUGAAGUCACACUCAUCUGACUUUUCAUGGGUAAGACUAUUAAUGUCAUUGUUUUGUUUAGUUGUUAUGUUUGAUCCUAGUGGUUUUAAGUUCACCAUUCAUAAUGAUUAUAGUUACAGUACUAAAUGCUUCUAGAGUGUCUGGAGCACCAAGCUGACUUCAAUGUUUAUUUAAAAAAAGAUCUCUCCAAUACAUGAUCCUUCCUGCUCCUUGACCUUUGCAAUCUCACAUCAGUCUCUUCAGCUCCCCUUAUAGAAGCCCAUUCCUGGAACCCUGCUCUAGCUUUCAUAAGAACCCUAAGACAUUUUAGCUCAUCCACUGUCUAAACUGCCACACUCUGCCUAUUGCUUUCUUCUAUUUUCCCAUUCUCUUAACCCCAAAGCAACUAUCCAAAAGCUUCAUUUUUGCUGGGGGAAAAAAAAAUCACACAAUCAUAAGGAAGAAUGUUAGGACAUAUUCAUGGGCCUUCAAAUGGCUUGGUCCCUCAUCUCCACCCUGUUAUUUCUUCCACCCUACCACCUAGUAGGUAGCUCAAGUGUGGACCUCCUUUCUCACAGCUCCCCUCCAACAUUCUGAUUUCAACUGAUGCACCGACCUCUUUUUUUGAUUGAGAAGCCUUUCCAUCUGAUUGCUCCCUCCACUUCUUCAGCGAUAGCCAACCAAUCCAUACACUUCUGUCCCCUGGUUGACUCACUUCUUCCCGUCUUGCUCAUGACACGGCUUACUCUGUGAUAUCCCCCUCUUCUCACCAUAUGGCUCUUUCCAUGUAACAUGUGGCAAGGUUCAGUUUUGUCUCUUCUCAGAAGAAAACUAAAGACAUUUAAGAAAAAACUUCUCUGGACUUGUUUCAGUCUCCCACUACUUAUAUCUUCUCUUUAAAAGGGUUUAAAAAUUGUAUGUGGCAGCCUGUACCCUUUCACCUCAACUAUCUAUAAUUUGGCUGCUUCUACCAUUCCUUUCUACCCCUUGUAUCUACUUUUUUUUUUAAUGAACUGAAUCACCAGUGGGUUCUGUAUUGCCAAAUAAAUAUCAGACUUUUCUGUGAGUUAUCCUUACUGAACUCUUAUGUGAACUGUCCUAAUAGUCCCCUAAUCAACUUCGUAUCUACUAUAAGCAAUCUGUUCGAUAUUUUCCCCACAUUAUUUUAAGAGGAAUAUUUUUAAAAAUCUAAUCAUGUUGUGAAACUAUAAUGCAACCUGAAUAAAAUAUCUUAGUAUGUUUAAUAGAUGGAUUAUUCUGGUAGAAAAAAUGUUAUGAAUAUUAGCCAAGUUGAGAAAAAAGAAAUUUAUGUAUUGCCAAAUAAAUAUCAGACUUCACAUAAAGAAUAUCACAUAAUCUCUCAAGAUUUAUUUCAGGACAUUAAGCAAUUGCAAGCAAUUUUUAAAAAAUAUUUAAAAUAGGUGUAAUUGGGACAUUUAUUUACCUUGAAAUGGUAAAGAUUUUUUUUUUCAAUAUUAAGACAAUUAAAGCAAAAAGACAAUAGUGGGAGGAUUUGACUACAUUAAACACCAAACUAUAAUUAGAAGGCAAAUAGACAAAUGGAAAGAAUAUGAGCAAUAGAUAAGACCAACAAUUUGUAUACUGAAUAUGUAAAAAACUUUAAUAUAAAAAGCAAUAAGGAAAACAUUAACAACUCAAGAAAUAAGCGAACGAUGAAAGUCAACAGAGUAGUCACAGAAUAAAUGUGAAUGGGUGAUGUGUAUAUGAUAUAAGCUUUUUCUAUUUCACUCAACCAAGAAUCCAGAUUUAAAACAAUAUGAUGUGAGUUUCUUUCGUCAGGCUAAGUGAUGAAGCAAAUGAUAGAGCCUCUAGUGUGGCUGACACGAAUGUUUUCAUACUAAACUAGGUAUGAUUGUUUUCUACUUACACUCACUUCUCAGCUUCACUUUUCUUCAAUUUUGAACAUGUGGCUUACCGUCCCUGCUGUGGCAUAUUGCACCAGAAAUACGCACCUGUCCUAAGGGGACCGAUCCAUAGGUGUGGCUGAGACUUUCAUAUUUUCCUUUUUAGGAAUUUGAACUAAAAACUGCUGAAUCCUUCAGGAGAUAGUAGAGGUGUUCCACAAGUAUAAUGCCAUGAGGAUCUUGGGAGGAAGAACAUUUCGCUUUCUUUCCCUGUCAGUAAAUCAGAUCUAGAAGAUCAGGGAGGAGCAGCAAAAAUAGGCAGGUAUUAGGUGUGUUGCAGCUCCUAAGGGAUGAGUGAAACAGAUUUCAUUCAAAAAGUUUUAGAUCUGGAGCUCAUUUUCCCAGCUCUCUUUGCUCUGCUUCUUGAUGUCAUUUUGGAUGCCUAUAGGACAUUUAAUGUCUUGGAAAAAAAGCCCUACUUGAUUAGCUGUGGCUGAUGUGCAUUCUUCACCUUCUCAAGGUUUUUUUUUUUGUGUUGUUUAUAUAUUUAUGCACUGACUGAGUUCUUAUAAAUUUUUGGAUAUUAACCCAUUAUCAGAUGUCUGGCUUACAAAUAUUUUCUCUCAACCCCUAGGUUGUCUCUUAACUCAUUUUUAUUUUUGCAGUGCAGAUUGUUCAUUUGAUGCAAUUCCAUAUUUUUUAUUUCUAUUUACGUUGUUUGUGCUUUUCAAGUUCUAGGCAAGAAAUCUCUGCCCAGACCAAUGUUGCAGAACUUUUCCUUAUGCUUCCUCUGAUAGUUUUAUAGUUUCACACCUAAGCCUUUUAUCCAUUUCGAGUUGAUUUUUUUCUAUGCUGUGAGAUAAGGAUCUAAUUGUAUUCUGUGGGAGUAUCAAUUUUCUCAGCAUGAUUUACUGAAGUGAUUGCCCUUUGCCAUUGUGUGUUCUUGGGAACUUGCCUGAAAAAUCAAUCGACCAGAAAUACUUGGGUUUGUUUCUCAACUUUCUGUUCUGUUCCAUUGGUUGAUGUGUCUAUUUUUAAUGCCAGUAACAUGAUGUUCUUAUUAUAAUAGCUUUAUAUUUUAAAUUUAGAAAGUGUGAUUUUUUUUCAAUGCAUAUAUGUACAUAUGUUUGAAGAUAUACAAAGCAGCAUUUUAAUUAUUUUUAUUGGUGCAUUAUAAUUGUAUAUAAGAGGUAGUAUUUAUUGUCCCAUAUUUGUAUAUGUAUAUAACAUAACUUAAUCAAUCUCAUUUCCUUCUACCUUCCUUUUAUUCCCUUCCUUCCUCCCCAAUCCACUUGCCUUACGCUGUUAAUCUUCCAUCACUAUUAUUAUCUAUAAUUAGUGUGCUAUAAUUAUACAUAUACUUACAUAUGUGCUAUGAUCUAUAUAUACUAUAAUUUUACACACACACACACGCACGUGCACACACACACACGAUUCAUUGUGAUAUAUCUGUAUAUGGUGAUAGCAAAAUUUGGUAGAUUUCAUUCCCCCAUACCUCCCUAUUCCAUCCUGUCCUUUCUCCCUCUCAAUCUCCUUCCUCUACUCUAUUGGUCUCCCUUACAUUUUCAUAAGACCCUGUCCCUUUUCUAUUCCCUUGUUUCUUCUCUGUAUAUAGUUUCCACAUAUGAGAGAAAACAUUCAACCCUUGGCUUUCUGAGUUUGACUUAUUUCACUUAGCAUGAUGUUUUCUAGUUCCAUUUAUUCAUCUUUAAAUAACAUAAUUUCAUUCUUCUUUGUGGCUGAGUAAAACUCCAUUGUGUAUAUAUACUAUGUUUUCUUUCAUUCAUCUUUUGACAGAGACCUAAGCUGGUUCUAUAACUUGGCUACUUUGAAUUGGGCUGCUACAAACAUUUGUAUGCAUGUAUCACUCUAAGUAUGCUGAUUUUAGUUCUUUAGGAUAAAUACCAAAGAAUGAAAUAUCUGGGUCAUCUGGUGAUUCUAUUUUUUUAAUUGAGGAAUCUCUAUUCUGCUUUCUUAAGUGGUUGUACUAAUUUGCAGCUCCACCAACAAUGUACAUUAUUUUAAAAAUUUAAUAAUAGAAGCAAGCUACCUGUCUAAAUAUGGGGAAUGAGGCAGUGAAUAAUGACAUAUCAUAUAACAGGAAGUAAUAAUAAGUCUAAGAUUUAGAUUUGUUUUAAUGAAAGAAGAGUCUGCUUGUAAUUAAAUAAAAAAUUUUUCAAAAAUCACACUGAGGUUUAAAUCCAAGUUUAGUAGAGUAGCAAUCAUGAGGAAAUUAAUUCACUUUCUUAAGACUCUAUUUUUUUUCAACUGUGUAACUGGUAUAAUAGUCCAUACCUGAUAGUAUUGUUUUCAGGAUAAAUGAAAUAUUUCAUGUGAUCACUUUAGCAUUGUGUUUACCACUUAACGUUUGGUCAUUUUUCUUCUCAUAUUUAUUUUAUCUUCUAUAUUUCUAAUAUAAAAAUUUGUUGCUUUUAUCCUUUUAUGUAAUUGAAAGCCAUUAAAAGAUUGUCUUUUUUUAAAAAAAAUUCUCAUUAUUAAAUUUCAAAUUCUUUUGUUUAGUGAAAUAAAAGACCUACAGCCUGUUGGAAUUCCAAAACCCUCGAGCAUUGACAACAGUAUUUAAAAUAUUAAUUGUUAUAAGUCUUUAUUCUGAUUUAAAUACACACACAUAAACACAUACAUACAAACUACAUUGUGAGAGUUUUACAAAAGUGCUUUAUGUAAUGUCAUCUUAAUUCUAAAUAUGAUGAUAAAUUAAAAUCCGAAAACUUAAAGUAAAUAUAAGGAAGCUACUUUGAAAUGUUAAGUCUAUUAUUUACUGAUCACUUAUAUUUUUAAAAAAGAGUCUACAUGCUUUAUAUAAAAUAAGAUAAAAUUUCUUUUAAAAAUUUCUUUUAAUAAUGUAAUUUUAAUAUAUAUAAACUUGAAUUCAUGGGAUAAGAAAACAUUAAAAAUUGUAUUAUUACUCAUUUGAUUUUGAAUGUUGCCUUUGAUUUUUAUAACGCAUUACUUUUAUCAGUUAUAAGCUUUCUCAGCUUUUGAAUGAAAGAUGGGAAGAAAGAAUUCGGGCACAACUCACAUACCAGAAUGUGCUCUUAAGUAAUAUUGGGCUUCAGGUACUCAAGUCAAUAACACCAAGAUAUAAGGAAGGUAUAUGGAAAAUUGAAAUGUAUUCAAAUAUGCAAAGAAAGUAUUGUUAUAGUUGGGAUAUUUAAUGAAUAAUUAUUCUUCAGAUUGUUCAGACAGAGGAGAUUCUCUAAUGCCUAUUUGGCAUUUUCUUCAAGAUCAGUCAUUUGUAAACUUCUUAAGAACUUUCUUUAAUUUCUAACUAAUUUUACCUCUCCAUUUUUUUUUAAUUUGCACCUAUUUCUCUGUGCUUUAUUUUAUUUUGUUUUAAGUUGAUAAAAUGCACUUAUUUACUGUCCUAAAAUGAUACAGGUCUUAGUUUACAAAAAAAAAAAAAAAUCAUAAUACCAGUUAUGCUUAAGUUUUGGUGAGUUUGCAAAAGAAAGUUAAAUGGAAUUCUAAUUUACUUUGUUAAAUACACAAUAAUCCAGGUACAUUGUCUUUUUUAGUCCUCACAAAAACCCCUCGAGAAAGAUUUUUUUUUAAAUGGGACAAGAUAGUAAUAAUAUGCGCAAUGUCACAGAACUGGUACGAAGGUGGUUUAAGCUGUACUGUGCGGUUCGUAUUCAAAUUUUGAGACUCUAGCUUCUAGUGAAUAACUUUUCUAAAAAAAAUAAAGCUAUAAUAUAUUCCUUUUAAAACAGAAGCUCAGUCUGAAUUUUCUUUCUCUGGGAUUUAGGUUAAAUGUGAAGGCAUGACUGAAUAAUAAGGUUUGUAUUCACAGACUCUAUGUUUGGAAAGAUGACACUAGAAUCAGAUGACUUAGACUGAUUUUUCUUUUUAUAAGUGAAAAUAAUCUCCAAGUCAGAGACUUUACUCAUUUCUUUUUGUUGUUGUUUUGUUUUGUUUCUUUUGCUUUUCUAAACUGAGAACCAAGAACAAUGUUAAACAUGUUGUAGGAGCUUAAUAAAUAUUAGUUGAAUGAGUAAUUCAGAUACCGAACAUAUCUGUUCAGUAAGCAGCAUCUACAGUGACUACCUUAUAUAAUCCCAUGCUUUAGGCCAGAUGUUGUGAAUUGUGGAUUUCUCAGAAAACUACACUUACAAUAGUUGCAUGUAUUUUUAGACUGUGGAGUCCUAACAUUUAUUUAUAUUUUUAUAAUAUGUGAGUUUAGUCACUCUAUUUCUUCAAAUAUAAGAAACUACUAAUGGUAAAAUAAACCAUCCGUGUGUGAGGAAGAAUUGAAAGGAAAGGAGGGAGGGAAAGGAAGGAAAGAAGGAAAGACAGAAAGAAGGAAGGGAAAGAAAGAAGGAAGGCUGCACAUUCUAAUUUUCAAACAUCAUUCAUUGUAAAACACAUCUCUGUUUUAGAAAUGUUAACGUGAAAAAGACGAAUCUUAGAAUUCAUGUUAUACAGUAUUUAUUUAUCAACAUUUAUGGGCUGCAUUGUUAUAUUAAACAUGAAAGAUAAUUAAGCCUGAAAAAGUGAUGCAUGUAAAAAUAUUAUGGAAAAGUUUUGGAAAUAAUUUAAUUUGGAAUGCUUUCACUUUACAGGAAUGUUAAAGAUUUCUAUGACUAUAAGUUAAGGCUUAGUAAGAAGAGAUGACAUUUAUGUAUCCGUCAAACUUGUGUUUCUACAAAUCCUUUCUUACUUUACCCAGUGGUGACACAAUCUAAUUUCAACAGAUCUUAAUCACAUUUUUCAAGUCACUCUCCUGCCCUUUUUGGACAAAUUUACUCAUUCUUCCUGCUUGCUCCCUCUAAGAAAGAGACCAUGAAUAUGUUCAGAGUUUCUUAUCCAGCCCCUACAAAUUUUCCUGAAACAUCAACACCAAGUAAUAAGAAUAAAAGAUUUCACUGUGUUCAGUUCCUGAGUCUC